rnacentral:rRNA from 1 species
UCAAGUUAUUAAGGGUGCAGGGCGGAUGCCUUGGCACUAGGAGCCGAUGAAGGACGUGAUAAGCUGCGAUAAGCUUCGGGGAGUUGCACGUAAACUUUGAUCCGAAGAUUUCCGAAUGAGGAAACUCACUUAGAGUAAUGUCUAAGUAUCAUUAAGUGAAUACAUAGCUUAAUGAGGGGAACUCAGGGAACUGAAACAUCUAAGUACCUGAAGGAAGAGAAAGAAAUUCGAUUCCGUAAGUAGCGGCGAGCGAACGCGGAUUAGCCCAAACCAAUAAAGUUUUCUUUAUUGGGGUUGCGGACAUAUCAUAACGAAGAGGUAUCGUAAUUGAAGAGGUUUGGAAAGACCCACCACAGAAGGUAAUAGUCCUGUAUGUUAAACGAGAAGACUUUAGAUAUGAUCCAGAGUACCACGGGACACGUGAAACCCUGUGGGAAGCAGGAGGGACCACCCUCCAAGGCUAAAUACUACCUAGUGACCGAUAGCGUAUAGUACCGUGAGGGAAAGGUGAAAAGAACCCCGGGAGGGGAGUGAAAUAGAACCUGAAACCCUGCACUUACAAGCUGUGGAAGCACAUUUCUUGUGUGACCGCGUACUUUUUGUAGAACGGGCCAACGAGUUACGUUAAGUAGCAAGGUUAAGCACUUAAGGUGCGGAGCCGUAGCGAAAGCGAGUUUUAACUGAGCGUUCAGUUACUUGACGUAGACCCGAAACCGGGCGACCUACCCAUGAGCAGGAUGAAGCGAAAGUAAAAUUUCGUGGAGGUCCGAACCCACGAGCGUUGAAAAGCUCGGGGAUGACUUGUGGGUAGCGGUGAAAUUCCAAUCGAGCCCGGAGAUAGCUGGUUCUCCCCGAAAUAGCUUUAGGGCUAGCCUCAAGGUGAGAGAUACGGAGGUAGAGCACUGAAUGUCCUAGGGGGUAUUGCACCUACCGAAGACUAUCAAACUCCGAAUGCCGUCAUCUUAUACUUGGGAGUCAGACUGUGGGUGAUAAGAUUCAUAGUCGAAAGGGCAACAGCCCAGAUCGUCAGCUAAGGUCCCUAAAUGUAAGUUAAGUGGUAAAGGAUGUGGGAUUGCACAGACAACCAGGAUGUUGGCUUAGAAGCAGCCACUCAUUCAAAGAGUGCGUAAUAGCUCACUGGUCGAGUGAUCCUGCGCCGAAGAUUUCCGGGGCUAAAACUUACUACCGAAGCUACGGCAUCAUUAUGAUGGGUAGGGGAGCUUCCCAUACGGUUGAAGCAUGACCGUAAGGACAUGUGGACAGUAUGGGAGUGAGAAUGUUGGCAUGAGUAGCGAGAUGUGGGUGAGAAUCCCACAGGCCGUAAACCCAAGGUUUCCAGGGGAAGGUUCGUCCGCCCUGGGUUAGUCGGGACCUAAGCUGAGGCCGAAAGGCGUAGGUGAUGGACAACAGGUUGAUAUUCCUGUACUACCGAUAACCGUUUGAGAGAAGGGAUGACACAGUAGGAUAAGCUAAGCACACUGUUGGUUAUGUGUGCCUAAGCAUUGAGGCAGUCAAAGCAGGCAAAUCCGCUUUGAUAAUGCUGGGAUGUGAUGGGGAGCGAAAUUUAGUAGCGAAGUAGCUGAUUUCACACUGUCAAGAAAAGUCUCUAUCGAGGUUAAAGGUACCCGUACCGCAAACCGACACAGGUGGGUGAGGAGAGUAUCCUAAGGCCAGCGAGAGAACUGUUGUUAAGGAACUCGGCAAAAUGACCCCGUAACUUAGGGAUAAGGGGUGCCACCAUCAGGUGGCCGCAGAGAAUAGGCCCAAGCGACUGUUUACCAAAAACAUAGGUUUCUGCUAAGUCGCAAGACGAUGUAUAGGAGCUGACGCCUGCCCGGUGCUGGAAGGUUAAGGGGAUCUGUUAGAGCAAUCGAAGCAGUGAACUUAAGCCCCAGUAAACGGCGGCCGUAACUAUAACGGUCCUAAGGUAGCGAAAUUCCUUGUCGGGUAAGUUCCGACCCGCACGAAAAGGCGUAACGAUUUGGGCACUGUCUCAACAACAGACUCGGGUGAAAUUGUAAUUCCGGUGAAGAUGCCGGAUACCUGCGACAGGACGGAAAGACCCCAUGGAGCUUUACUGUAGCUUGACAUUGGGUCUUGGUACUACAUGUACAGGAUAGGUGGGAGGCUUUGAAACCAGGACGCCAGUUUUGGCGGAGCCAUCCUUGGGAUACCACCCUUGUAGUACUGGGACUCUAACCAUAGGCCAUGAAUCUGGUCUUGGGACACUGUCAGGUGGGCAGUUUGACUGGGGCGGUCGCCUCCCAAAAGGUAACGGAGGCGCUCAAAGGUUCUCUCAGUACGGUCGGAAAUCGUACGUAGAGUGUAAAGGCAAAAGAGAGCUUGAUUGCAAGACAUACAGGUCGAGCAAGGAUGAAAAAUCGGACUUAGUGAUCCGGUGGUUCUGCGUGGAAGGGCCAUCGCUCAACGGAUAAAAGCUACCCUGGGAUAACAGGCUUAUCUCCCCCAAGAGUCCACAUCGACGGGGAGGUUUGGCACCUCGAUGUCGGCUCAUCACAUCCUGGGGCUGUAGUAGGUCCCAAGGGUUGGGCUGUUCGCCCAUUAAAGUGGUACGCGAGCUGGGUUCAGAACGUCGUGAGAGACAGUUCGGUCCCUAUCCGUCGCAGGCGUAGGAAAUUUGAGAAGACCUGUCCUUAGUACGAGAGGACCGGGAUGGACGUACCUCUGGUGUACCAGUUGUCCUGCCAAGGGCAUGGCUGGGUAGCUAUGUACGGAAUGGAUAAGCGCUGAAAGCAUCUAAGCGCGAAGCCAACUUCAAGAUAAGAUUUCCCACCGCAAGGGUAAGACCCCAGAAAGACUAUCUGGUUGAUAGGUCGAAGGUGUAAGUGCAGCAAUGUAUUUAGCUUAUCGAUAC